rnacentral:rRNA from 1 species
UGCCAGCCGCCGCGGUAAUACGGAGGGUGCAAACGUUGUUCGGAAUCACUGGGCAUAAAGAGCACGUAGGCGGCUAAGUCAGUCUGGUGUGAAAUCCCCCGGCUCAACCGGGGAACUGCAUCGGAUACUGCUUGGCUUGAGGACGGUUGGGGCGAGUGGAACUCCUGGUGGAGCGGUGAAAUGCGUAGAUAUCAGGAGGAACACCAGUGGCGAAAGCGACUCACUGGCCGUCUCUGACGCUGAGGUGCGAAAGCUAGGGUAGCGAACAGGAUUAGAUA